rnacentral:rRNA from 1 species
UGACCUCAGCUCAAGCAAGAAAACCCGCUGAACUUAAGCAUAUCAAUAAGCGGAGGA